GAGGGGGACCUACGUCGUGCUGGCGAUGGGGAUCUACGCCAGCUUGGUGAUGGUGACCUGCGUCGCAUGGAUAAGGGUGAUCUACGCCGAGGAGGUGACAAAUAUCUACGGCGUCGACUAAUGGAGGGGGACCUACGACGUCGAAUAGGUGAUGGUGACCUGCGUCGUCGAAUAGGUGAUGGUGAUCUACGUCGAUAAGGAGAACGUAGUUUUCGUCGUAGCGGAGAUGGUGAUUUCCAAGGUGACCUAGAUCUUCUCUUAGAAUAUGAUGACCUUCGUCUUGAAGGAGAAACAGAGGCCCGUGGUGAACCCCUACGACGUGGUGUAAUAGAUUGCUUUCUU
rnacentral:lncRNA from 1 species